rnacentral:rRNA from 1 species
AGAGUUUGAUCAUGGCUCAGGAUGAACGCUAGCUACAGGCUUAACACAUGCAAGUCGAGGGGCAGCACAGAGUGGCAACACUUGGGUGGCGACCGGCGCACGGGUGAGUAACACGUAUCCAACCUGUCCCAUACUCGGGGAUAGCCUUUCGAAAGAAAGAUUAAUACCCGAUGGCAUCAUCUGGAGACAUCUCCUAAUGAUUAAAGAGAUUCGGUAUGGGGUGGGGAUGCGUUCCAUUAGCUUGUUGGCGGGGUAACGGCCCACCAAGGCAACGAUGGAUAGGGGUUCUGAGAGGAAGGUCCCCCACAUUGGAACUGAGACACGGUCCAAACUCCUACGGGAGGCAGCAGUGAGGAAUAUUGGUCAAUGGGCGAGAGCCUGAACCAGCCAAGUAGCGUGAAGGAUGACUGCCCUAUGGGUUGUAAACUUCUUUUAUGAGGGAAUAAAGUGCGCCACGUGUGGCGUUUUGUAUGUACCUCAUGAAUAAGGAUCGGCUAACUCCGUGCCAGCAGCCGCGGUAAUACGGAGGAUCCGAGCGUUAUCCGGAUUUAUUGGGUUUAAAGGGGGCGUAGGCGGCAGGUUAAGUCAGUUGUGAAAGUUUGCGGCUCAACCGUAAAAUUGCAGUUGAUACUGGCCUGCUUGAGUGCGGCAGAGGCAGGCGGAAUUCGUGGUGUAGCGGUGAAAUGCUUAGAUAUCACGAAGAACUCCGAUUGCGAAGGCAGCUUGCUGGAGCGUAACUGACGCUGAUGCUCGAAAGUGCGGGUAUCAAACAGGAUUAGAUACCCUGGUAGUCCGCACAGUAAACGAUGGACACUCGCUGUUGGCGAUACACGGUCAGCGGCUUAGCGA